AGCAGCAUGGCGCAGUGGUAGCGUGCGGGGCCCAUAUAUCGAUGGAAUGGUUGCUUGACUCCGAGGUCACUUGAUCGAAACAAGUUGCUGCUA